rnacentral:lncRNA from 1 species
AAGUUUUAUUUUUCAGAGUGGAAAAGCUUCUAGCAAUGACUCAAGUGGUGUCAUUGAUCUCACGAUGGACGAUGAGGACAGCGGGACUACACAAGACCCCAAGAAGCUAAAUCCUCCUUCUGCGUCUACUGUGAGUACUUCUCAGCCCAUGUCUCGACCAUUGCAGCCCAUUCUACCAGCACCACCUCUUCAGCCCUCAGGGGUGCCAACAAGUGGGCCAUCUCAGGCAACUAUCCACGUUCUGCCUACAGCUCCAACCACCGUGAAUGUAACACAUCGUCCAGUAACUCAGGUGACCACAAGACUCCCUGUACCAAGAGCUCCUGCAAACCACCAAGUGGUUUAUACCACUCUCCCCGCACCAAC